rnacentral:lncRNA from 1 species
UUGACAUUUAGUUAUUUUACACUAGAAAAUUGAGGGUUAGUUAGAUAACUUUUAUUUAAUGUUGUACACUCAUUUGCUAAUUUACACCCAAACAAUUAUAAAUAUUUACAACCUAAUUGAACAAAAGUAUUAUUAAAAUGAAAAACAAAAGAAAGGGUGGGGGGGCAUAAACCAAACCCACCAAAACAAGAUUAGCGAAAACGAUAAUUAGGCAAACCAA